AGUAGGUGGGGCCCACAUGGGCAGGGGAGGAAAGAGUAGGUGGGGCCACACCUCAGAGGGGAGGAAAAAGCAGGCGGGGCCACACCUGGGGGAGGAGGAAAGAGCAGGCGGGGCCACACCUGGGCGGGGAGGAAAGAGCAGGCGGGGCCACACCUGGGGGAGGAGGAAAGAGCAGGCGGGGCCACACCUGGGCGGGGAGGAAAGAGCAGGCAGGGUCACACCUGGGGGAGAAGGAAAGAGCAGGCGGGGCCACACCUGGGCGGGGAGGAAAGAGCAGGCGGGGCCACACCUGCGGGGG